GGCUACAAUGGUUGGUACAAUGGGUAUCUACCCCGAAAGGGGACGGGAAUCUCCUAAAACCAAUCUUAGUUCGGAUUGAGGGCUGCAACUCGCCCUCAUGAAGCUGGAAUCCGUAGUAAUCGCGUUUCAACAGAACGCGGUGAAUACGUCCCUGCUCCUU
rnacentral:rRNA from 1 species